rnacentral:rRNA from 1 species
UACAGAGGGUGCAAACGUUGUUCGGAAUUACUGGGCGUAAAGCGUGCGCAGGCGGUUCGUUAAGUCAGAUGUGAAAGCCCCGGGCUCAACCUGGGAACUGCAUUUGAAACUGGCGGGCUUGAGUGUGGCAGAGGGGGGUGGAAUUCCGCGUGUAUCAGUGAAAUGCGUAGAGAUGCGGAGGAACACCGAUGGCGAAGGCAGCCCCCUGGGCCAACACUGACGCUCAGGCACGAAAGCGUGGGGAGCAAACAGG